GACAGAGGGUGCAAACGUUGUUCGGAAUCACUGGGCAUAAAGCGCACGUAGGCGGUCUGGUCAGUCAGGUGUGAAAGCCCCCGGCUCAACCGGGGAAUUGCAUUUGAAACUUCCAGACUCGAGGACGGUAGGGGUGAGUGGAACUCCAGGUGGAGCGGUGAAAUGCGUAGAUAUCUGGAGGAACACCGGUGGCGAAAGCGGCUCACUGGACCGUAUCUGACGCUGAGGUGCGAAAGCUAGGGUAGCAAACGGG
rnacentral:rRNA from 1 species